rnacentral:lncRNA from 1 species
AAACAUUUAAUUGAUAUUCAUGUCUUAUUUCCUACUUUUUUGAGUUGGAUAGGAAUUGAAAUGUUGUUUCACUGUUUAAUUAAAAGGUAAUGAAGCGUUUGUUUCAUUGUGCAUAGAUUCACGACAAUAUCAAAAUGUUUGAAUUGAAUGUUUUGAAGACAAACAACUUUUGAAGGCUGAUACGUUUGAAGAAAUGACAUGAUAUAGUUAUAGAUUUGUGAAACUCAUAAUUCAAUUGACAACAUUUGUUCAAAGUCUACCAACUAUCAAAGAAUUUGUUGUUGGUAUUUGUAAAAGCAUAUCGGUGAGUUGAAGUGUAACACCAUGCGUUUCAUUCUCAUAAUUACUAUGUCCUAAUAGAUUAUGUAUUUGUAAUGCCACAUUUUAUUUACGUGAUAGGUGUUUCUGCUUUCUUAAUUAAUUUUAUUUAGUGUGU